GGGUCUCUAGUUCUGACGUCUGGGCUUCUCUUGUCUUGGACUGUGGACUCUGCACAUGGCAUUCAGAUGGUUUUCUGUGUGUCGAAAUAAAAGCAUGUGAGGGUAGUUCCUGCCCGGAGGACUCUCUCGGAGUCCAUGCUUUCCUGGUUUGAAUGUACGCAGUUGUCUCUCAAGAAAAGUGACCCUCUCACCCAUCUCCCCACCAGCUCAGUGAAUGAGUGCCCGCUGCGGUUCUUCACUUUGGAUCUUGUAGACUCUACAUUAGACAUCGCUUUUCUUCAGGGCUCUGAGGUCGUGUUCUCUUGACAUGGACAAAAAUAGUGCUGGUCAGAGGGUAGGGCGGCUGGGUCACCUCAGGCCCAGAGUGGCCAAGCAGGGACUUGAGAAGAAGGUGCUGCUCUUUGCUUUUCUGUCCAAGCUGUCCAGCACCUGAUCUAGUGCCUCUUCCCUGCAGGGCAGGGACCCCUAG
rnacentral:lncRNA from 1 species